GGAGGGAUCAUUACUGAGUGAGGGUGUCACAGCCCGACCUCCAACCCUUUGUGAACCAUCCAUGUUGCUUCGGGGGCGACCCUGCCGUCCGCGGCACCGGCGCCCCCGGAGUCCCAUCAAACACUGCGUUUACCUGCCGUCGGAGUUUUAAACCAAUUUAAACAAAACUUUCAACAACGGAUCUCUUGGUUCUGGCAUCGAUGAAGAACGCAGCGAAAUGCGAUAAAGUAAUGUGAAUUGCAGAAUUCAGUGAAUCAUCGAAUCUUUGAACGCACAUUGCGCCCCGUGGUAUUCCGCGGGGCAUGCCUGUUCGAGCGUCAUUUCACCACUCAAGCCUGGCUUGGUAUUGGGCGUCGCGGAGCCGAUCCGCGCGCCUCGAAGUCUUCCCGGCUGAGCCGUCCGUCUCUAAGCGUUGUGGCAUCACAAGUCUCGCUUGGGAGCGCGGGCGGUCGCGGCCGUUAAACACCCCAUCAAAGGUUGACCUCGGAUCAGGUAGGGAUACCCGCUGAACUUAAGCAUAUCAAUAAGCGGAGGAAAAGAAACCAACAGGGAUUGCCCUAGUAACGGCGAGUGAAGCGGCAACAGCUCAAAUUUGAAAUCUGGCGCAAGCCCGAGUUGUAAUUUGUAGAGGAUGCUUCUAGGCAGCGGCCGUUCUAAGUUCCUUGGAACAGGACGUCAUAGAGGGUGAGAAUCCCGUAUGUGACCGGCGCGCACCUUCCACGUAGCUCCUUCGACGAGUCGAGUUGUUUGGGAAUGCAGCUCUAAAUGGGAGGUAAAUUCCUUCUAAAGCUAAAUACCGGCCAGAGACCGAUAGCGCACAAGUAGAGUGAUCGAAAGAUGAAAAGCACUUUGGAAAGAGAGUUAAAAAGCACGUGAAAUUGUUGAAAGGGAAGCGCUUGCAACCAGACUUCGCGGCGGUGUUCCGCCGGGCUUCUGCCCGGUUCAUUCGCCGCCGUGAGGCCAGCAUCGUCUGGGACCGCGGGAUAAGACCUUAGGAAUGUAGCUCCUCGGAGUGUUAUAGCCUCUGGUGAUGCCGCGAGUCUCGGGCGAGGUCCGCGCUUCGGCAAGGAUGCUGGCGUAAUGGUUGUCAGCGGCCCGUCUUGAAACACGGACCAAGGAGUCUAACAUCUAUGCGAGUGUUCGGGUGUCAAACCCCUACGCGUAAUGAAAGUGAACGGAGGUGGGAGCUUCGGCGCACCAUCGACCGAUCCUGAUGUCCUCGGAUGGAUUUGAGUAAGAGCAUAGCUGUUGGGACCCGAAAGAUGGUGAACUAUGCCUGAAUAGGGUGAAGCCAGAGGAAACUCUGGUGGAGGCUCGCAGCGGUUCUGACGUGCAAAUCGAUCGUCAAAUUUGGGUAUAGGGGCGAAAGACUAAUCGAACCAUCUAGUAGCUGGUUCCUGC
rnacentral:misc_RNA from 1 species